CCUUUGGUUAACCCGGCUUCCCCUCAGCUCGGCCCUGGGCAGCCCCGGCUCCCUCUGGGCAGCCCCGGCUCCCUCUGGGCAGCCCCGGCUCCCUUUGGUUAACCCGGCUCCCCCUCAGCUCGGCCCUGGGCAGCUCAGCUUGCCCUUGGCAGCUCGGGCCCGGGUGCUGGCUCCGGCUGAGCCCAGCGCUGUGUGAAACAUUGAGUUUGUCCCCCAGCUCAGGGCCGAGAAGAAUGCGCGGAAGGUUUGGGUUAGGGCAGUUCCUCUCUAGCGCUGAUAAUGAAGUCGUUAGAGGUUGUUUCUGAUUAGGUACAAUGUUUUCCACUUAGUCCCGCAGCCUGGAGUUUGAAAACGGAAAAACUAAAUUCCAACUCAUCUUGUUUAAUUAGUUGUUCUAAGGGAGCUUUUUAUGGUUUUCUUUUAUUUUUUUUUUUUCUUUUAAUUUUAUCAUGACAAAAAAUGUGACUUUAGCUGAACUCCUCUGAGGGGGGAUAUGAACUUUGAGCCUUCCUUUUUUUUUUUCCUUCUGUAAAGAGUUGGGGUCCUUGGAGGAUAGUAUUUUAUUUCCUGAUGAUGUAACUACAAAACAAUUCUCUUAAGUGAUGAUGGGAAGGCCAGAUGAAAUCUGAUUUUUUUUCUCUUCAAUGUUUUUUCUACAAACCCCUUUCCUUUUUUGUAUGUUUGUGUUUCAGCUAACACAAUUAAGCAGUCCAACCAACUAUAUUUAGUAAGAAGGUCUUGAAGAAAUGAGUAGUUUGUUUUAAUAUUUAAGAAAGAGGCAGAAAGCCAAAAAGUGGGAUUUAGAUUGAAGAACUUAAAAUGUAUCUCUUGUAUUCCCUGUCCUUUAGUGUACACCCUGAAUAAACAUUGACAACAGAAGGAAGAAAUACUGGAAACGAGCACAAAAUUUGUUAUUCAAAAUCCAGUGAGCAAUAAUGGGAGUCAGUGAAAUGUACUCCUUUUAUGUUGGUGGGUAAAUUAGACACUGGAAAGGCAUUCAGCACUAUUAAAGUAGUAGGUGCAUCCACAAUUAAUUUAUUUGCAGCAUUUGAAUUUUAGUCUUCAUCUCUAUAGCUUAAGCUGUUCUCUGCCUGCUUUUAGUGUAUUUUGUUAUAUUGAGCAUAAUGCUAACAAUAAGGGAAGUUACUUAUUUGGGGGUGUUGUCUGUAAGUAUGAAGGUAAAUGGUGAUUAAAGUGUUUGCAUUUCAUUAACAAGACAGAAAUAUACUAGCUAUGUUGCAUGUAUUUAUCCUGAGUGUAGUGUGAAAAAGGUACUUAUUCUUUAGUUGGAAAAUUCCAGGCAACCCCUUGCAUGGUUACUGAGUAAAGACUUCCUCAGAACUCUGCUGCUUAUUUGUAUGGAUGAUCCUGCUGUAUCCUCUUUGUAAGUUUCUGAGAAAGUUCAGAUUUGGGUGCCUCAUCAGAAAACUUUGAAAUUAUUUAAUACUAACCCUUCCCAAAUGGUUUUGGAGAUAGAAAACCAAGGGACAGACCAGGAUAAUAUUUUAUUUGCUAUUCCAGGGAGAGUUAAUAAUCUAAUCCAGACAAAAGCAAAAUGACCUGUCCUUUAGCUGAUAUUGACCUAUUCAGUUCCUUGGCUAAUGUUUUUGGAGGCUAACAGUUUUUCUAGCUUUUCUCAAAAGCAUUGCACCAAUAUAGAUCAUUUGAAAUACAAACUCAUCUAGGUGACCUUGGUAUGGGAAAUAUCUUCAGCUACAAACUCAGCCUUUCUGCUGGGACUCUGUUUAAUAUGACAGGACAACUGCAGGUGCAAGGUAGUGUCUACGAACAGGCUGUGGCAGUACUGCUGUAUCCAGUUCUGAUUUGCAGGGGGAGCCAGGAAAGCUAUUCAGUGGAAGGAGCCAAAACCAAUAAAAGAGGCUAAUGUUGGUCAGGUGAGGUUCCAGUUUGUCAUAUUGGAAGAAGAGAAUCCAUUAGUGGAUUAUUGGAAGGUGAAGGGAGGACCAUGUGACCAUGUGAAGAUGCCAGUGUCCAGUGGAGUGACUGGGAAGGAAUGGUUAGAGGUGAAUAUUUGGCUUCCACUAAACUUUUCUUCUCUUUUAAAAACCGCUUCUUCAUUGACCUGAACUAUGAAAGCUGCUAUAUCUAAAACCCCAUCAGAUGCAAUUUGGAUGAGAAUUUUAUUCCAUUUUUUGAGAACCUGUAAAUUCAAAUGAAAUUGGGUUGUUCUGUGUGGUUUUUUGUAUGACUAGUUUGGAAGAAAAUUGUGAUUCAGUUCUUGGUGUCAGAAAGUUUGUUAAGUGCUACAGAGGAAGCAAACCAUGAAGGAAGACACAGCUCUUGAGUGGCUGAGUGGUUCAGACUGAGAAGUGCUCAGGCUUCUGAAUUCUCUGCUUCACAAGUCCCACCAGUUCUUCACCUCAUCAGUUUCAGAUGGACAGUGCUCCCAUAAAAGUCUUGAAACAAGAUACUGAUUUUGGAAGUGUUGGCCUCAAAAUAUUCUCCUUGAUCCUUCAAGGACCACUGGGACAGAAGUGUGCGUAGUACAGAAGAUCCUCAAGUGAAAGGCAAGGCAUGUACAGCAGAAUUUAAAACUUCCUUGUAUUUUUGUCCAGUCACAGCAGACAGUGUACUUCUUUAUGCUUUUUGGAAAUGCAUACCCAGGACAGAAUGUGGAUGAGCUCUCAGUAGACUUAAUAAAGCUAAUAUGCAAAUUUUUUAUGAA